UACGUAGGUGGCAAGCGUUGUCCGGAGUUAUUGGGCGUAAAGCGCGCGCAGGUGGUUCCUUAAGUCUGAUGUGAAAGCCCACGGCUCAACCGUGGAGGGUCCUUGGAAACUGGGGAACUUGAGUGCAGAAGAGGAAAGUGGAAUUCCACGUGUAGCGGUGGAAUGCGUAGAGAUGUGGAGGAACACCAGUGGCGAAGGCGACUUUCUGGUCUGCAACUGACACUGAGGCGCGAAAGCGUGGGGCGCGAACAGG
rnacentral:misc_RNA from 1 species